UCCCGUGUGGUUCAGUUGGUAGAGCAUGGUGUUUGCAAUGCCAGGGUUGUGGGUUCGAUUCCCACGUGGGAC
rfam:Salmo salar isolate Sally breed double haploid chromosome ssa24, whole genome shotgun sequence.